GGCGCCAUGGCUUAGUUGGAAAAGUGCCUGUCUAGUAAACAGGAGAUCCUGGGUUCAAAUCCCAGUGGUGCCU
rnacentral:tRNA from 1 species